rnacentral:lncRNA from 1 species
GGGAAGGGGUGUUGGUCGAUUUUCAUUGGCUUGGCCGAUUUUGCCAGCACUUCAAACUUAAGUCUGCCUUGCUCAAUGGCCGACUGUAUCUGCUGCCUGAAGAUCUUGCACUCAUUGGUAUCAUGGGAUGUGGCAUUGUGCCACUUGCAAUAUUUCAUCUUUUUUAGUUGUUCGGCAGAAGGUAUUGUAUGGUACUAUGAGAGUU